rfam:Chloroflexi bacterium RBG_16_50_11 RBG_16_scaffold_14479, whole genome shotgun sequence.
NNNNNNNNNNNGGUGACCGCCCUGAUUUGCCCUGAAGGGCUCAUCGGGGAGGAAAGUCCGAGCUCCGCCGGGCAGGAUGCUGGGUAACUCCCAGGAGGGGCAACCCUACGGAAAGUGCCACAGAAACAUACCGCCCCGAUUCGUCCCGAUGAUAUCGGGGCUCAUGCGGGGUAAGGGUGAAAUGGCGAGGUAAGAGCUCACCGGCUCCGAUGCGAAUCGGAGGCCGUGCAAACCCCAUCCGGAGCAAGACCAAAUAGAGGGACACAGGGACGCCCGGCCCGUUCCCCGGGUUGGUCGCUCGACCCCUCCGGUAACGGACGGGCUAGAUAGAUGGUCACCGUCCCGAUUUUAUCGGGACACAGAACUCGGCUUACAGGUUUACCUGGCCC